CAGCGAUGCCGCCGCCGGCCACAAGGUGGCAGUGCCGUGCUGCGUGGCUACACGCCCCUGGAAGCACCGGACCAGCCUUGGACUCCCGAAAGAAGCCUGGUGUAACUGAGUCUGGAAUUUUUGCUGGGCUUGCUAGGUCUACACUCUCCCACCUGUGCUCCGAGGAGAGGUGUAGACUAUCUCUUGGAUUUUGCUUGGAGGAUGUCCUUUCCGGACUCAGGACCUAGGAGAGACCAGCAGGAAACAGAACAGAGUCUACAUAGGUGAAUAUCAAAGAAUCACCUGGAGAGAUUUACAGACAACAGACUGGGACAAAAGGCCUGAGUCACAGACCAGUGAUUGGCAAAACAGAGAAGCUGAAGCAACUGUACAGCAAGCAGGAGCUCACACACGGGAGCCUACCUCUGGGAAUGCCG
rnacentral:lncRNA from 1 species